rnacentral:rRNA from 1 species
AGAGACAGGUGCUGCAUGGCGGUCGUCAGCUCGUGUUGUGAAAUGUUGGGUUAAGUCCCGCAACGAGCGCAACCCUUAUCCUUUGUUGCAAGCGGUCCGGCCGGGAACUCAAAGGAGACUGCCAGUGAUAAACUGGAGGAAGGUGGGGAUGACGUCAAGUCAUCAUGGCCCUUACGAGUAGGGCUACACACGUGCUACAAUGGCAUAUACAAAGAGAAGCGACCUCGCGAGAGCAAGCGGACCUCAUAAAGUAUGUCGUAGUCCGGAUUGGAGUCUGCAACUCGACUCCAUGAAGUCGGAAUCGCUAGUAAUCGUGGAUCAGAAUGCCACGGUGAAUACGUUCCCGGGCCUUGUACACACCGC